GGUGGGGAUGACGUCAAAUCAUCAUGGCCCCUUAUGACCUGGGCUACACACGUGCUACAAUGGUUGGUACAACGAGUUGCGAGUCGGUGACGGCGAGCUAAUCUCUUAAAGCCAAUCUCAGUUCGGAUUGUAAGGCUGCAACUCGCCUACAUGAAGUCGGAAUCGCUAGUAAUCGCGGAAUCAGCACGCCGCGGUGAAUACGUUCCCGGGCCUU
rnacentral:rRNA from 1 species